rnacentral:rRNA from 1 species
GGUGUAGCGGUGAAAUGCUUAGAUAUCACGAAGAACUCCGAUUGCGAAGGCAGCUCACUGGAGUGUAACUGACGCUGAUGCUCGAAAGUGUGGGUAUCAAACAGGAUUAGAUACCCUGGUAGUCCACACAGUAAACGAUGAAUACUCGCUGUUGGCGAUACAAUGUCAGCGGCCAAGCGAAAGCAUUAAGUAUUCCACCUGGGGAGUACGCCGGCAACGGUGAAACUCAAAGGAAUUGACGGGGGCCCGCACAAGCGGAGGAACAUGUGGUUUAAUUCGAUGAUACGCGAGGAACCUUACCCGGGCUUGAAUUGCAACUGACUGAGCUGGAAACAGUUCUUUCUUCGGACAGUUGUGAAGGUGCUGCAUGGUUGUCGUCAGCUCGUGCCGUGAGGUGUCGGCUUAAGUGCCAUAACGAGCGCAACCCUUAUCUAUAGUUACCAUCAGGUCAUGCUGGGGACUCUAUGGAGACUGCCGUCGUAAGAUGUGAGGAAGGUGGGGAUGACGUCAAAUCAGCACGGCCCUUACGUCCGGGGCUACACACGUGUUACAAUGGGGGGUACAGAAGGCAGCUACACGGCGACGUGAUGCUAAUCCCCAAAACCUCUCUCAGUUCGGAUUGGAGUCUGCAACCCGACUCCAUGAAGCUGGAUUCGCUAGUAAUCGCGCAUCAGCCACGGCGCGGUGAAUACGUUCCCGGGCCUUGUACACACCGCCCGUCAAGCCAUGAAAGCCGGGGGUACCUGAAGUACGUAACCGCAAGGAGCGUCCUAGGGUAAAACUGGUGAUUGGGGCUAAGUCGUAACAAGGUAGCCGUACCGGAAGGUGCGGCUG